rnacentral:rRNA from 1 species
UACGGAGGAGGCAAGCGUUAUCCGGAAUUAUUGGGCGUAAAGGGCGCGUAGGCGGCUUUUCAAGUGACGGGUGAAAUCCCUCGGCUUAACCGAGGAACUGCCUGUCAGACUGGAAGGCUUGAGACCGGGAGAGGUGAGUGGAAUUCCCAGUGUAGCGGUGAAAUGCGUAGAUAUUGGGAGGAACACCAGUGGCGAAGGCGGCUCACUGGACCGGAACUGACGCUGAGGCGCGAAAGCGUGGGGAGCAAACAGG